rnacentral:rRNA from 1 species
AGUAGCCGCGGGAAUACGGAGGGUGCAAGCGUUAAUCGGAAUUACUGGGCGUAAAGCGCACGCAGGCGGUCUGACAAGUCAGAUGUGAAAUCCCCGGGCUUAACCUGGGAACUGCAUUUGAAACUGUCAGGCUGGAGUCUUGUAGAGGGGGGUAGAAUUCCAGGUGUAGCGGUGAAAUGCGUAGAGAUCUGGAGGAAUACCGGUGGCGAAGGCGGCCCCCUGGACAAAGACUGACGCUCAGGUGCGAAAGCGUGGGGAGCAAACAGGAUUAGAUACCCCAGUAGUCCCUGUCUCUUAUACA